UGGGGAAUAUUGCACAAUGGAGGGAACUCUGAUGCAGCGACGCCGCGUGAACGAAGAAGGCUUUCGAGUCGUAAAGUUCUUUUAUAUGGGAAGAUAAUGACGGUACCAUAAGAAAAAGCCCCAGCUAACUACGUGCCAGCAGCCGCGGUAAUACGUAGGGGGCUAGCGUUGUCCGGAAUCACUGGGCGUAAAGGGUUCGCAGGCGGAAAUGCAAGUCAGGUGUAAAAGGCAGUAGCUUAACUACUGUAAGCAUUUGAAACUGCAUAUCUUGAGAAGAGUAGAGGUAAGUGGAAUUUUUAGUGUAGCGGUGAAAUGCGUAGAUAUUAAAAAGAAUACCGGUGGCGAAGGCGGCUUACUGGGCUCAUUCUGACGCUGAGGAACGAAAGCGUGGGUAGCAAACAGG
rnacentral:rRNA from 1 species